CCUACGGGAGGCAGCAGUGAGGAAUAUUGGUCAAUGGCCGUAAGGCUGAACCAGCCAAGUAGCGUGAGGGAUGACUGCCCUAUGGGUUGUAAACCUCUUUUAUGCGGGGAUAAAGGUGUCCACGUGUGGCUGAUUGCAGGUACCGCAUGAAUAAGGACCGGCUAAUUCCGUGCCAGCAGCCGCGGUAAUACGGAAGGUCCGGGCGUUAUCCGGAUUUAUUGGGUUUAAAGGGAGCGGAGGCCGGUCUUUAAGCGUGCCGUGAAAUUUUGUGGCUCAACCAUGGCAGUGCGGCGCGAACUGGGGACCUUGAGUGGGCGGGAGGCAGGCGGAAUUCGUGGUGUAGCGGUGAAAUGCUUAGAUAUCACGAAGAACCCCGAUUGCGAAGGCAGCCUACCGGAGCGUUACUGACGCUGAGGCUCGAAAGCGCGGGUAUCGAACAGGAUUAGAUACCCCAGUAGUC
rnacentral:rRNA from 1 species